rnacentral:tRNA from 1 species
UGAUACAGUCUAGGGGUAUGAUUUUCGCUUCGCAUAUUUCAAUGCGUACUUGUGAAAGGUCGUGGGUUCAAUUCCCACAGCGUCCA